UAUUUCAUCCUUACUUUUAAUUUUUUGGUUUUCAAUUUUUUUGGUGAUUCUGGUAAAAUUUAAUUUCGCUGGGGGCAAUUUGACUCUUCAAUUACGGAUCAGGGUAUGAAGCGUUGUACCGUUUUUGUCAGUUUAGGGAAUGUUCGUCCUUUGAUUGAGUUAGAAAAUAGAAGGUGGAAGAGAAACAAUAAUAGUAAUGAAACUUUUACGAGUGUAUCAAUGUUGUUUCAACUUUACUAGAAUUCUUAGAAGAGGGCUAUAUUGUGGAUCUUUUUCUCACUUGGACAUAAUAUAUUUAUGAGUUUUUGGCCAAAAAUAUCCAAGUAUAACCUCAUCCUCCAUUACUUCACUAACACCCAGAAAUCACAGUGAAUUCCAUUGUAACUGAAGAGCAAAUAGUAAAAGCAUGUAAUUUGGUGACAGACAAUUGAGGUGGAUACUUUGUUGCAGCUGUUGAACCCUAUUCUGUUAGUUGGGUGAAAGUUGGGAUUGGUUUUGGCUAAAACAAUACUGAUUUAGGAAGCAGCCUCGGCCUCCUUUUCAGUGGCCUUGGCUUUUACUUUUUCCUUCCUCUCGCAUAACACAUCUCAAUUAGCAUAAUUAUAGAGAUGUUGCAUGCUCUUUUGAUGAGUUUGAGUUGAUGGAAUCAUGACAUGAUUGAUGAUUCAUUACUCCUGGAAUAUAAUAGGGAUAAGGAGUUUGUGCAUGAAAACUGGAAACAUCAUGCAUUUUGGCUGGAGAUGCAUAUGCAUCUGACAGAAUGAGUUCCUGUAAUGUGGAAAUUCCUUUGAUACAGUACGAGUACAUGACCCCUCAAAUAGAAAAUGACUUUGGAAUAUUGUUACUGCUUGGAUAGCCAUCACCUUGCAAAUGACUUUCUACUACAUCUACAGUGACUUGUAUUUUAGUAUCAAUAUGUACGUGGCCACCCAAUGAAGUACUCUUGCGCUUUGGCCAUUGCUUUUAGGCAAGCUUGACUUGACAUAGGUGAAGAAGGUGGAAGACUCACCUAUCCUCAAUUCACUCUUCUUAGGAAAAUGGUGAAAUUUCUCAUGUUAACAUAAGCAUGUGGCUAAGAUGACACUUAUCUGAAGAUACGCUGAAAAGUUUCAUCUCUCAGAAAGUAUUCAGUUUCUCUAAGCAUGUAAAGCAAGGCAUAUGACCUGGUUCAAGUUCAACCAUGCCUAAAGAUCGGUCAUAUAUUUGGGAACAUUUUGAAAUGGUUAAUGAAGAUGAAGAAGUGGGUUAUCAGGAAAAAAAAGACGAUGAAGAUGAUGAAGAAGUGUGUGAAGAACUGUAUGAAAAACCGCUUAGAGUGCAGUGCAUGAGAUGUGGUAGGAACUUUGCGUAUAUUGGCACGCAUACAUUUGCUUUAGAGAAGCAUAAUAAGAUAUGUCAUGCGCUUCAUCUAAAGAAAGAGAGGAAGUGUCAGAGGUGUUUGAAAAACCGCGUAGAGCAAAGUGCAUGACAUGUGGUAGGAACUUUGCGUAUAUUGGCACAAAUACACAUCCUUGGAGAAGCAUAUUGAAAUAUGUGUCGCCAUGGUUUUUAAGCUUAUGUUAUGAAUUUUAGACUUAAUUUGUGAUGUGUUGUGUUUGAUGAUGGAUUUAAGACUUAGUUUGUGAUUGCUAAUGUUUUCUAUUUGGACAAUUUUAAGACAUAUUAGUGUUGUUUUAAGCGUUCACAGCUGCUGAA